GGAUUGUGGGGAAUUGCUACUAGUGUUGCGUUCUCAAUGGAAGUGGCUAAUAUAAUAUGUUUAUUUCUUGUUAUUUCACAUCUCCAUGCUUUCAUCGGCGGAGAAAAUGUGAAACUCAUUGACCAAGGAGAACUGAAGUUUAUGGAAGCAUGGCAAUUGUUGCGGAUCAACUACGACAAAUCUUCACCUUGGAUGGCAGUUUCUUUGGCAAUUUGCAUAUAGUUACUCCAUGAGCAUAAGACUUUGGGCAAUACCUUCAUUAUUGGCCUUGGAUAUUUGGCAGCCGAGUGUAUGGGCCAACAAUUUUCCGGAUUUCUAAUCAAAUGGAAGGAGAAAUCUAGGAAGAGAGCCACUUAGAUGGAUUCAGUAAAUAUUCGGCACCAAUUUCAGGUCAGCAGUUAUAGUAGGGGGUUUCAUAUAUUGCUGCUCUUUCGUCAUAUGUCCUGCACACUUACAUAUUUGCUGUUGAAGGGAUGCAUCUAAUUGACAAGGUAUUUGGACCUUCUAAGUGGUUAGUUGAAAAUUUUAUUGAAGAAG
rnacentral:misc_RNA from 1 species